UGGGGAAUAUUGGACAAUGGGCGAAAGCCUGAUCCAGCGACGCCGCGUGUCGGAAGGAGUCCUUCGGGAUGUAAACGACUUUUGGUGGAGACGAAUAAGCAGCUCAGGGAAUGGGGCUGUGAUGACGGUAUCCAUGGAAUAAGCCCCGGCUAACUACGUGCCAGCAGCCGCGGUAAGACGUAGGGGGCAAGCGUUACCCGGAAUUACUGGGCGUAAAGGGAGCGUAGGCGGGAGGUCAAGUCCGGUGUGAAAGACUCUGGCUCAACCAGGGAUGAGGGCUGGAAACUGACAAUCUUGGGUACAGCAGAGGAAGAGGGAAUUACCGGUGUAGGGGUGAAAUCCGUAGAGACCGGUAAGAAGGCCAGUGGCGAAGGCGCUUUUCUGGGCUGUUACUGACGCUGAGGCUCGAAAGCCAGGGGAGCAAACCG
rnacentral:rRNA from 1 species